rnacentral:rRNA from 1 species
GAUGAACGCUGACAGAAUGCUUAACACAUGCAAGUCAACUGUGGCGGACGGGUGAGUAACGCGUAAAGAACUUGCCUCACAGAUAGGGACAACAUUUGGAAACGAAUGCUAAUACCUGAUACUGUGAGAGAGCUUUGCGUCCCAUUAGCUAGUUGGAGAGGUAACGGCUCACCAAGGCGGUGAUGGGUAGCCGGCCUGAGAGGGUGAACGGCCACAAGGGGAAUGAGACACAGCCGUUAGUCCUACGGGAGGCAGCAGGGGGGAAUAAUGGACAAGUGCCCCAAGUCUGAUCCAGCAAUUCUGUGUGCACGAUGAAGUUUUCGGAAUGUAAAGUGCUUUCAGUUGGGAAGCGGUACCAACAGAAGAAGUCACGGCUAAAUCCGGGCCAGCAGCCGCGGAAAUC